AUUACCGAGUUUAAACUCCCAAACCCCUGUGAACAUACCUAUAAUUGUUGCUUCGGCGGGAUCGUCCCGGCGCCCAACCUACACCGGGCCCGGACCCAGGCGCCCGCCGGAGGCCCCAAACUCUUUGUUUUUACGUUGUGUAUCUUCUGAGUUAUACAAGCAAAUAAAUCAAAACUUUCAACAACGGAUCUCUUGGUUCUGGCAUCGAUGAAGAACGCAGCGAAAUGCGAUAAGUAAUGUGAAUUGCAGAAUUCAGUGAAUCAUCGAAUCUUUGAACGCACAUUGCGCCCGCUAGUAUUCUAGCGGGCAUGCCUGGCCGUAAAACCCCCCAACUUCUGAAAGGUUGACCUCGGAUCAGGUAGGAAUACCCGCUGAACUUAAGCAUAUCAAUAAGCGGAGGAAAAGAAACCAACAGGGAUUGCCCUAGUAACGGCGAGUGAAGCGGCAACAGCUCAAAUUUGAAAUCUGGCCCUUGUGGUCCGAGUUGUAAUUUGUAGAGGAUGCUUUUGGUGAGGUGCCUUCCGAGUUCCCUGGAACGGGACGCCAUAGAGGGUGAGAGCCCCGUCUGGUUGGACACCGAGCCUCUGUAAAGCUCCUUCGACGAGUCGAGUAGUUUGGGAAUGCUGCUCUAAAUGGGAGGUAUAUGUCUUCUAAAGCUAAAUAUUGGCCAGAGACCGAUAGCGCACAAGUAGAGUGAUCGAAAGAUGAAAAGCACUUUGAAAAGAGGGUUAAAAAGUACGUGAAAUUGUUGAAAGGGAAGCGCUUGUGACCAGACUUGGGCCCGGUCAAUCAUCCAGGGUUCUCCCUGGUGCACUUUUCCGGCUCAGGCCAGCAUCAGUUUGUCGCGGGGGAUAAAGACGUUGGGAAUGUGGCUCCUCCGGGAGUGUUAUAGCCCUUCGU
rnacentral:rRNA from 1 species